GACGAACGCUGGCGGCGUGCCUAACACAUGCAAGUCGAACGGAGUUAUUGAGAAGCUUGCUUCGAUUUAACUUAGUGGCGGACGGGUGAGUAACGCGUGAGCAAUCUGGUUCAAAGAGGGGAAUAACGCAGGGAAACUUGUGCUAAUACCGCAUAAUGUACAGAGACCGCAUGGCCUUUGUACCAAAGGAGCAAUCCGCUUUGAAAUGAGCUCGCGUCCGAUUAGAUAGUUGGCGGGGUAACGGCCCACCAAGUCGACGAUCGGUAGCCGGACUGAGAGGUUGAUCGGCCACAUUGGGACUGAGAUACGGCCCAGACUCCUACGGGAGGCAGCAGUGGGGGAUAUUAGACAAUGGGGGAAACCCUGAUCUAGCAACGCCGCGUGAAGGAUGAAGGUUUUCGGAUUGUAAACUUCUUUGACGAGGGAAGAUAAUGACGGUACCUCGAGAACAAGCCACGGCUAACUACGUG
rnacentral:rRNA from 1 species